AUUGAACGCUGGCGGCAGGCCUAACACAUGCAAGUCGAACGAGUGGCGGACGGGUGAGUAAUGUCUGGGAAACUGCCUGAUGGAGGGGGAUAACUACGGGAAACGGUAGCUAAUACCGCAUCCCAUCAGAUGUGCCCAGAUGGGAUUAGCUUGUUGGUGGGGUAAAGGCUCACAAAGGCGACGAUCCCUAGCUGAUCUGAGAGGAUGACCCGCCACACUGGAACUGAGACACGGGCCAGACUCGUACGGGAGGCAGCAGUGGGGAAUAGUGCACAAUGGGCGCAAGCCUGAUCGAGCCAUGCCGCGUGAAUGAAGAAGGCCUUCGGAUUGUAAAGUACUGUCAGCAGGGAGGCGUUACCCGCAGAAUAAGCACCGGCUAACUCCGUGCCAGCCGCCGCGGUAAUAC
rnacentral:rRNA from 1 species